rnacentral:lncRNA from 1 species
AACAGAAGCAGGAGAAAGAUAAGAGUAGACAGGGAUGAAACGUCAAUGUACCAGAUCUUUGGUAGGUCAAAUAUGAGUGACAAACUCUACGUGCUGAAUGAAGACUAGAUCAAGAUCAUUAGAGUGGAAGAUGCAAAAGAUUGAACCUAGGUUCAAUUGCUGGCUCUGGAGAUAGAAGCAUACAAAGACUACAAAAGAUGACCCAAAAUUUUAACAUGUUUUAGAAGUCCUAGAUUUGUAUUAUAGUCCACCGACAGACUUAUUUUCACAAUCAAAGCAAGUUCUGGUUUGUAAAGAAAAUAUGGCCCUUGGGGCUCUUGGGGCUCUUGGCACGCCUGCUGUCUCAUUUAUAAAUGGAACAUGUUUACAGUGUAUUCACCUUGAGUCUUGAGGAACUUCUCCAGAUCAUGGACCGUGGCUUUGAAGGAGCAAGCUGCCAUGAGCUUUACUGUCACAAAGAAAUGAAUUAUGCCAAGAAUCAGAAGGAGCUCAGAAGCAGAUCCUUUCCUCAUCAAGCCUCCAAGUGCGACUGCAGCCAGCCAGCCUUGAGCACAGCCUUGUGAGCCCCUAAAGAGAAAACUCAGACGAUGCCUAGACUCCUGACCUCCCGAAACUGUUAGAUAACAACGUGUGUUUUAAACGACCAAGUUUGUGGUAAUCUAUUACACAAUCUACAAAACUAAUAUAUGAAUCCACUAG